AUGGGCUCAAUGCAGAAGCAAGGGUUGGUGUCCCUGGUGAGCACCGAGGAAUUCUCAGUGACCAUCAUGUGUUUAGGAUUCUCAAACACUGGCUAAAGGCAGGCGAUCCAGAUCCUUACUACAACCCGGUAAAUGAUUAUGUGAUUCUACCCACUGCUUUUGAAGUUGGGACGCACAAAGAGAAUGCCUUACAAUUUACAUCACUCAAAGAGGAAUGGGAAAUCAUCUCAGGGGAUCAAGACGACCACUAUAUUAUGGCCGACAAAAAGCCUGUAGUAAGUUCAAUAUCAGUUUCUCAUGCAGGAGGUGGUAAAUCUUUGCAGGAAGAAACAUAUGCCACUUUGAUUGUUCAUUCUCAGAAUGAGGGGAAGCAACACAUUCAGCUAAAUGCUAUUAGUGUGUCUGUUGAUAGUUGAAUGUACUCUCAGACAGAAAAGUGUUGGGUUGCUUAAAGAUGGCAUGUAGAUCUUGUAUGCAAUGUAUAUAACAGUUGCUUGUAACAGUGACCGUGGUGCAACUUGGUGGUAUCCAAAUUUGUGCACUUCUACAGGGAAUGCUUGUUCAAGGACUAUACUUCAUGGAAUUUGGUCUGUUAUGGUACUGAUGCUAAUUUCGUAAAAUAAGCUUCAUUUUCAAUUUUCACAAAAAAAA
rnacentral:misc_RNA from 1 species